CUCAGAGUCUUCAGGAUGCAGUCUGGACUCUCCAGAAAAACACUCAGAUGUUUCACUCCUGAAUCCUUCAGGUUGUUGUUACUCAGGUCCAGAUGUUCCAGAUGGGAGGGGUUGGACUUCAGAGCUGAGACCAGAGAAUCACAGCUGAUCUCUGACAACCUGCAGCUCUUCAAUCUGAAUAAAGAAUCAAAGAUGUGUAUAAAAUCAUUGAUGAUCCAUCAGAUGUGUUCAGGUUCUGAAUGUGCAGAUCAACAUUACUUUGUCCUCAUCAAUCAGCUUUUCUCUAAAAGCAGCACAGUGACUUUGUCCUUCUCUUAUUGUGGAUCAUCAUCAUGUCAGCCUUCUACACACAUCAUCCACAUGUCAGCACAACAUUCAUCCACCUAUUCAUGUCCACACAUCAGUAACAUCUGCUGACCUCAGUCCACUCUCUCAUCAAAGGAUCAACAUCAAAUCUCUUCAUUCUUUCAUUUAUUCCAUCACCUUCUUCUUCUUCUUCUGUGGAAAUCAGCUUGCUAGCUUUGUCUCCUUCACAUCUUCCAGUGUGUCUUCAACAACAGUCACAUGUCAUCUGUACAUUACAGAGGGAUUCUGAUUCCUGCUGUCCACACUGACUGUCCACUGCUCUCUUCCUAACACAACUCCACUGGAAGGAAUCACUUCAUCAGCUCAGCUCACACUAACAUCAAGCUUCAGCUUCUGACUCACACUAAUCAACUUCCACACUGUUGACAACUAAACUCCUCUUUGACUUCCUGAGGCUCCACUGCAGCUCAGCACAAACACUGUGGAAACACAAACAUACUGACUGGAUGUGCGGAAGUCACACUGCUGAAG